AUUGAACGCUGGCGGCAGGCUUAACACAUGCAAGUCGAGCGGGGACUUCGGUCCUAGCGGCGAACGGGUGAGGAAUGCUUGGGAAUCUGCCCAGUAGUGGGGGAUAACGUUUCGAAAGGAACGCUAAUACCGCAUACGUCCUACGGGAGAAAGGGGGGGAUCUUCGGACCUCUCGCUAUUGGAUGAGCCCAAGUCGGAUUAGCUAGUUGGUGAGGUAAAGGCUCACCAAGGCGACGAUCCGUAGCUGGUCUGAGAGGAUGAUCAGCCACACUGGAACUGAGACACGGUCCAGACUCCUACGGGAGGCGGCAGUGGGGAAUAUUGGACAAUGGGCGAAAGCCUGAUCCAGCCAUGCCGCGUGUGUGAAGAAGGCCUUCGGGUUGUAAAGCACUUUAAGCGAGGAGGAAUGGCUCUUGGUUAAUAACCUUGAGCAGUGACGUUACUCGCAGAAUAAGCACCGGCUAACUCUGUGCCAGCAGCCGCGGUAACAC
rnacentral:rRNA from 1 species